rnacentral:tRNA from 6 species
GCGCGCGUAGCUCAGCGGUUAGAGCUCUGGUCUUACACACCAGCGGUCGGGGGUUCGAUUCCCUCCGCGCGCACCC